rnacentral:rRNA from 1 species
CAGCCGCGGGUAAUUCCAGCUCCAAUAGCGUAUAUUAAAGUUGUUGCAGUUAAAAAGCUCGUAGUUGAAUUUCGGGAUUGACGUGACGGUCGUGCCUUACGGGGUAUGAACUGUCGCCGUUGAUUUCUCACCUUCUGGAGAAGCUCGAUGUCCUUAAUUGGGUGUCUUGCGGAACCAGGACCUUUACCUUGAAAAAAUUAGAGUGUUUAAAGCAGGCAUUAUUGCUCGAAUACAUUAGCAUGGAAUAAUAGAAUAGGACGGCAUGGUUCUAUUUUGUUGGUUUCUAGGAUCACCGUAAUGAUUAAUAGGGAUAGUUGGGGGCAUUAGUAUUCAAUUGUCAGAGGUGAAAUUCUUGGAUUUAUUGAAGACUAACUACUGCGAAAGCAUUUGCCAAGGAUGUUUUCAUUAAUCAAGAACGAAAGUUAGGGGAUCGAAGACGAUCAGAUACCGUCGUAGUCUUAACCAUAAACUAUGCCGACUAGGAAUCAGACGAUGUUAAUUUUUUAAUGACUCGUUUGGCACCUUACG